rnacentral:rRNA from 1 species
AGUGAACGCUGGCGGUAGGCCUAACACAUGCAAGUCGAACGGCAGCACAGAGGAGCUUGCUCCUUGGGUGGCGAGUGGCGGACGGGUGAGGAAUACAUCGGAAUCUACCUUUUCGUGGGGGAUAACGUAGGGAAACUUACGCUAAUACCGCAUACGACCUUCGGGUGAAAGUAGGGGAUCGCAAGACCUUACGCGGAUAGAUGAGCCGAUGUCGGAUUAGCUAGUUGGUGGGGUAAAGGCCCACCAAGGCGACGAUCCGUAGCUGGUCUGAGAGGAUGAUCAGCCACACUGGAACUGAGACACGGUCCAGACUCCUACGGGAGGCAGCAGUGGGGAAUAUUGGACAAUGGGCGCAAGCCUGAUCCAGCCAUACCGCGUGGGUGAAGAAGGCCUUCGGGUUGUAAAGCCCUUUUGUUGGGAAAGAAAUCCUGUCGGUUAAUACCCGGUAGGGAUGACGGUACCCAAAGAAUAAGCACCGGCUAACUUCGUGC